GGAGAGGUGCUCGAGUGGUUGAAGAGGCAUGCCUGGAAAGCAUGUAUACGGGUAACUGUAUCGAGAGUUCGAAUCUCUUCCUCUCCGCAA
rnacentral:tRNA from 1 species